rfam:Canis lupus familiaris chromosome 35, whole genome shotgun sequence.
AAAAAGGCUCUUUUCAGAGCCACCCACAAUCUCUUGAAAGCAGUUG